GAUCAAGGAUGAAAAUAGCCAAAUGUGAGCAUCAGAAGACCUCCCAGUCUCCCUGAUGCAUGGUCUCUAUAGUUCUGGGA
ensembl:snoRNA